AACAUCGCGCACCUGCGGGAACCUGCGGAAGGAUCAUUACCGAGUUUACAACUCCCAAACCCCUGUGAACAUACCAAUUGUUGCCUCGGCGGAUCAGCCCGCUCCCGGUAAAACGGGACGGCCCGCCAGAGGACCCCUAAACUCUGUUUCUAUAUGUAACUUCUGAGUAAAACCAUAAAUAAAUCAAAACUUUCAACAAUGGAUCU
rnacentral:misc_RNA from 1 species